rnacentral:lncRNA from 1 species
AACUUACGAAACACUUAAUUCUGAAAUCUAAUAGUGAAAAAUGGGGAAAAUUGAAAUACUUUAAUAGACAAAUUAUAAUAAAAACGUAAUAAGCUGUUGGACUCGAGCAGAACUGACAACCUUGUUCUCUGGCAAUGGGUGAAUAGCCAGGAAGAUCAGGUAUAAAAUACCAAAUGAUGUACAAGGUAUUUACUGGGGGAACUCAGACCCAAGGUGAGAUCAUCUUGAACCUAUCUGAUCUUAACCAAUUUCCUGUUUUACUGGGUCCUGUACGGAAAGUAAAAUGAUGUGGAAGGGGAUUGGAAAAGAAGCAAGUCUGAUUGAGAUACUUGCUUUGAAUGCAAAAAUGGACACAAGCUCCACUUCUGUAUCACACUGAAGUACAGUAAUUGUUGCUAUAGGGUUUCAUCAUCUGUAUCCCUGCUUUUUUCCAGUUCAUGGGCAUUGGUAAAGCCUCGGAUCAGUGAGGUUUAAAGUCUCUCUUCCAGGUAACCCUUCAGUGGAAGUUUCUGGAGUGGUAAACUGAGAAUUAAGUCCUUUUUCUGAAGCAGGAUCACGUAGAACUAAAACCAAAUUCUCUCUCUUCUGAAACCACAAAUUCUGUCUUGGACUAGAUACGUUUUUCAUGCGAAGAAGGUUUGCUGUCAUUAGUUCAUUUCCUUCAAAAUCUUUUUAAUUAGGUAUUUUAAUAGGAAAAUUCUUGAUAAACUUCCAUUUCAUUUCCCAUUUGAUCUGCAGUGUUCUAGGAGUGGAUUAUAGCCCUGCAUUGGAGAAGUAUGAAUAAUUUGGUAUUAAGGAACCAUCAUCUGCAGUGCUUUCAGCCCACAGUAAUGAUCUGGAGACAAAAAUGCCUAGGAAUGGAUUUGUGUAUGAGGGAAGCUGGGCUACUACACUCCUACCAGCCAGCCAACUUUCACCACUAGGAACCUUACAUGUAGCUCACCAUCCAUUCAAUUCAGACUGAGAAAAAAGUCCUGCGGAGUGGAAGAGAGGUAAGUACAUCCUUUAAAUCUAGUGACACUCCAUAUAUACCUUGAUCUGUACAGAGAAUCGUCAGCUGUUGCCCGAGAGAAAUGGAUAUCUAAGAAAAUAAAGGGGGGGUGCAAUCCUUCACCUGUUUGUCUGCUCCUGUCUGAAAUCAUCUGCUCCAAGCUUAGGAGGGCUGUGAUCAGUCAGCAUUCAAGAGAGACAGUGUGUGAGCACAGGCAGGGUUGUGCAGCUGUGGGACUACUGGGAAUGGGCAAGAGGUGGGGAGAAAGGAGAGAAAAGUUU